GAUGAACGCUGGCGGCGUGCCUAAUACAUGCAAGUCGAGCGAACAGAUGAGGAGCUUGCUCCUCUGACGUUAGCGGCGGACGGGUGAGUAACACGUGGAUAACCUACCUAUAAGACUGGGAUAACUUCGGGAAACCGGAGCUAAUACCGGAUAAUAUAUUGAACCGCAUGGUUCAAUAGUGAAAGACGGUUUUGCUGUCACUUAUAGAUGGAUCCGCGCCGCAUUAGCUAGUUGGUAAGGUAACGGCUUACCAAGGCAACGAUGCGUAGCCGACCUGAGAGGGGGAGGGGCCACCCGGGAAGGGAGACCGGCACCACACUCAUAGGGGGGGAGGCGGGAGGGAUUCGGCGGGAAGGGGGGAAGGACAGAGGACGAAGCGCGGAGGGAGUAUGGAGGGUCUCGGUAUGGAAAACCUCUGUUUUUGGGAAGAAAAAAUCUUGUAGUAAACAAUCACCGUUGGGGGGGUACCAAACAAAAAAGCCCGGGCUAACCACGUG
rnacentral:rRNA from 1 species